rnacentral:rRNA from 1 species
GAAAGUAAACAAGGGCGCAUGGAGGAUGCCUAGGCUCUCGGAGGCGAAGAAGGACGUGAUAAGCUGCGAAAAGUUACGGUAAGGCGCAAAUAGCCCUAGACCCGUAAAUAUCCGAAUGGGGCAACCCGGCCAGCAAUGGUCAUACCGCCAAGCGGUAAGCCAACGCGGGGAACUGAAACAUCUAAGUACCCGCAGGAAAAGAAAAUAACAAUGAUUCCGCCAGUAGUGGCGAGCGAACGCGGAACAGCCCAAACCACUCGUGUUACGGCACGAGUGGGGUAGAAGGAUCCACGAUACGGCAAGAAAUAAGUUAGCAGAAUACGAUGGAAAUCGUAGCCAAAGACGGUGACAGCCCAGUACGCGAAAACCGACAGAAGCCCAGUGGACACCUGAGUAACCCAGGACACGAGAAAUCCGGGGCGAAUCAGCGGGGCCCAUCCCGUAAGGCUAAAUACUCCCGAGAGACCGAUAGCGAACCAGUACUGUGAAGGAAAGGUGAAAAGAACCUCGAACAGAGGAGUGAAAGAGACCCUGAAACCAUGCGCCUACAAGCGGUCGGAGCAUGUUAAAAUGUGACGGCGUGCCUUUUGCAUAAUGAACCUACGAGUUACUCUCGCUGGCAAGGUUAAGCGAUUCAGUCGCGCAGCCGAAGCGAAAGCAAGUCCGAAUAAGGCGUACAGUCAGCGGGAGUAGACGCGAAACCAAGUGAUCUACCCUUGGUCAGGUUGAAGGUUGGGUAACACCAACUGGAGGACCGCACCGAUAAGCGUUGAAAAGCUUACGGAUGAACUGAGGGUAGGAGUGAAAGGCCAAUCAAACUUGGAGAUAGCUCGUACUCCCCGAAAUGCAUUUAGGUGCAGCCUCGAAGUAAAGUGAUAGAGGUAGAGCGACUGAUAAGAUGCGAGGGCUUCACCGCCUAUCAAGUCUUGACAAACUCCGAAUACUAUCACUUGAUCUUUGGGAGUGAGGGCAUGGGUGCUAAGGUCCAUGUCCGAAAGAGGAACAACUCAGACCACCAGCUAAGGUCCCGAAAUAAGGGCUAAGUUGAAUAAACGAAGUAAAACUGCAAAGACAGCUAGGAUGUUGGCUUGGAAGCAGCCAUUCAUUUAAAGAGUGCGUAACAGCUCACUAGUCGAGGAGUUUUGCAUGGAUAAUAAUCGGGCAUAAGCCCUUUACCGAAGCUGUGGAUGUCGUAAGACAUGGUAGGGGAGCAUUCCGGCGGCGACGAAGGCCGUCCUCGAGGACGACUGGAGCUUUCGGAAAAGCAAAUGUAGGUAUAAGUAACGAUAAAGGGGGCGUGAAACCCCCUCGCCAUAAGACUAAGGAUUCCUGAUCAACGCUAAUCGGAUCAGGGUAAGUCGGGCCCUAAGGCGCAGCCGAACGGCGUAGCCGAUGGAAGAAACGGUAAAGAUUCCGUUACUGGAUAUAGGAGCGAUGUGGAGACGGAGAAGUGACACACCCGCCUGCCGACGGAAGCGCAGGUUAAAGGAAGUAGGUAAACGCCGGGUAGGCAAAUCCGCCUGGCGUGCCGAAGCUGACAGUAUCGAGAGCCCCCGGGCAAUCGAAUAGCGGUGGUAAUCAGGCUCCCAAGAAAAUCCGCUAAGCAUAUUCUAUAUUCACCCGUACCCCAAACGGACACACGUAGUCGGGUAGAAUAUACCAAGGCGCUCGAAAGACUCACGGUUAAGGAACUAGGCAAAUUGACCCUGUAACCUCGGGAAAAAGGGUCCCCAGUAAGAUGGGGCGCAGAGAAUAGGUCCAGGCAACUGUUUAACAAAAACACAGGGCUGUGCGAAAUUUCAAGAUGAAGUAUACAGCCUGACACCUGCCCGGUGCCGGAAGGUUAAGAGGAGAGCUAAUCGCAAGAGAAGGCUUGAAUUGAAGCCCCGGUAAACGGCGGCCGUAACUAUAACGGUCCUAAGGUAGCGAAAUUCCUUGUCGGGUAAGUUC